AUCUUGGUUCGGGGCCAUCUGGACUCGUCUGUCUUUAUUUUACCGGCUGAUGGGCAUCAUAGUCAAUGAAUUCGUGGAGUCCGGUUACAAAAAUUCUUCUUUCAGAAACAAUUGCUAGAAACUUAUUGGUUUUACAUGUUUGCAGAUCAUGAAUAAUUGGUCAAUAAAUUUGUUUAAGAUUUAAUUUCCGAAUAUGGAGGUAACAGUUUUGAUCUGUAUUUCAAGGUCUCUUGAGCAGGUCACUUUGAUUUAAAGGUCUCCCCCACUCAAACAAAAAUUUAUGAGAAUUUUGCCAAUUACUUCUUAAAAACCAAAGCUAACAACAAGUGUUUUGUAUUGCUUAACUGUACAUGUAAAGGGCUAUAGAAAAGCAUAAACGAGUUUGAGCGUUAAAAUCAAAGUACAAGGCGUUGUGACACUUCAAAGUCGACCCUGUCUUAAAAAUUGAUGAGACUUUCUAUAAGCAGUCUGAAUUUAUGUAAACUCUGGAUUGAUAAAAUCAAAAUUCCGAAGUUGCUCGAAGCGACGCUGAUUUCUGCAGCUUAAUUCAAUUUGCACUUAAUCUCUAAUGUUUAAUGGAAAUUGAUAUGCAAGAAUAUCAACAUACUUCAUAAUACAUCACUCUGCACUGUGUAGGGACUCCAUAUUUAUAUAAGACCUUACAUUCACAUUUUUCUUUUAGAAGAAAAUACUUGGUGGUUGGAACAAUUCUUUUUAAUUUUUAAUUUUUUUUUGUUUAUGUAUAAAACACGGAAUAGAUCGUGGCUGUACACAUUGAACAUUGAAGUAUUACUCUAAACGGAAGCAUCGGAUCACAAAUAAAUGACUUACAAGACCCUUUCGAAAAUUAAAAAAAUUAAUACAUCAACCUUUAUUAACAACAAAAAGUGCUGAAAAUCUUAAUCCAGUGUAAAUGUAUAUUGGGAACCAGAAAAUCUUUGUAGGAACGUCGUCUACGUUUUUUCUUUCAUUUAAAUUAUGUAUUGCAGUAUUUCGUAAUUUGAAUUUGUUGCAACGGAUGUUUUUAUAUUUUUUUCUAAAAGGUUUUAGGCACAAUUUUAGACAUACUUCAGUUACAAAGUGCUUAUUCCAUGAAGCUGCAACAUUUUAUGAGAAAAAAAUAUAAUUCUGCUGUGUUCUAGUACUCACUUCAUGUUCAUAUUAAAUAUAAUUCUGCUGUGUUCUAGUACUCACUUCAUGUUCAUAUUAAAUAUAAAAAGUGCUCUUGCAAAUUAUAUAAUAUUUCCACUUGCUUCUUCUCAUAUUUCUGAUCUUCUAAUUAAUUCUUUGCAGAAAGUAAAUUGAGAAGGAAAAAUAAUCCUGAUUUUCUGAACAUUCUUUGCUAGAUUUCAUGAAUGGCAUGUUCGAUUCCUAACGCAAAUUGUCCCCGCGGUAGGAACACAUAUCUUCAGCUAAAAACCUGUGCCCUGUAUCCCUACCUGUGCCCUGUAUCCCUACCUGUGCCCUGUAUCCCUGCCUGUGCC